AGCAACCGGAGCACUGGUGGAAGCAAAAGUGUAUCAAUUAAUGCAACAGAAACCACGUAAAGCCAAAUUGGACAGUACAUUUUUUUUUUACGCUACUCAUUUCACGGUUUCCGUAUUUUUUUUUAUUUUACAAAAGAUAGUUAGACGCUGAAUUGCAAAUACAAACACCAAUUUACGUUCAGUAAUGAGGCCCAGGAAGAAUAUAAAGCCGAAGACAGGGUAAGGAAGGAAUGGCGAGCAGACAAGGCGGUUCAUUCAAUUCCAUCCUCGAAUGAGGAAAUUCGCUCCUUUAAUUCAGCUGUCCAGCAAACCACACAACCGAGAAGGGAAACAAUUUGCAUUAGGAGGUGUGUGAUCUGUUUAGCGGCGACACCACCCUGUUGGUUGCGUCCGAGGAAUGGGCAGAGAUGGGGGUGGUGUCUGGUGUGCGGACUUUUCCGUGUGUGACCGGAUCGUCUGCAUAUCAUUUCAGUUUGGGAUGGGGAAAGACGCUACAAGAAGGCUAUCGCUAGGAAAAAAAAUCAGACUGGACAGGAAGUACAUUAUCUCCUGCAAACAAACGGAGGUGCCUCUGUCUGUACCCUGGGACAUCAGCAACCAGGAGCUCAUUUUUCAGCUGCUGCUGCUCAAAUUGGAGCUCUGAGAAAAACAAGGUAAGUCUCGUUUGUGGAACAGUUAAACAUAAAGGCAUCAAUCAUUAGAAACGUUAUUCAGCUAAAUUAGAAUAAGCUCAUGGGAUUGUUUGUUUCCUGCUAACUCUCCCCUCGCCUCCCUACUGUCUAAUCCAAUUAUGACUUUCAAUGGCCAGCUGAAAAUGCAGUCAUAGUGAGUGUUUUCAGAUUAAGUUGGAUGGAAGCAAUGUGGAACAAGUCAACUGCUUUCUUAAAGGAGCUACGUAUAACAUUUCCACUUGCACUAAAUGUCAAUGAUUUAAUGAUGUAGUAAUAUAUGAAUACAACCCUACAAGGCUCUGUUUAAACCCAUAUAGAUUCUAUAGUAAUUUCCAUGGUUUAACCCCCUCCUUCCUGAUCUGUUCCCAGGUCAGUCUGUACACUCUGGAGAACCAAAUGCUUUGUUUUAAAGGUAGACUAAUGUCAACGUCCCCGCUGAACAGGCCUUCCAUCUGCUCUCAGACCUGCGCAGGAGACAUGAGUGGGACAGGCAUUACCAGUGGGGACCCAUACCUGAUUGCCCUGCCACUAAGGAAUACACCCGGGGAGAAGUACUCUGUGCAUGCUUCAGUAUCUGCGAGGAGUCCGACUCAGGCUGGGCCAAUGGGGCUCUUUGUUAGCUCAUCGAAAAGCUAGCCUGGUCCAAGAUCUGUUUGUGCUGUAAAGCCUACUUUGGUCGUUCUCAUGCCAAACAUGACAAUGAUCGUAGUUGGCAAGACAGUAGAAAUAGAUCUAGGACCAGGCUAACUGUGCUUCGCUUCUUUUCUUCACACUGUGUAUUCACCCUUAUUCUAUAAGCUGAGAAUGUGGAAAUCUAUAUGGACCACUGAUCUCAUUGUCUCUGUGUAUUUUGCCUCAGAUCUCCUACUACAACCAGGCCACACCGGGAGUCCUCCAUUAUAUCUCCAACGACAUCGCAGGCCUUUCUUCCAGCUUCUACGAUACCUUUCACUCCUACAGCAAGUACCGAGAGGAGAACAGAGACAGCCUAGCCACCCUGCCCCCUUUUGACCUGUGACGGAAUGGUAUCAUCCUGAUCCCCUCUGUCCUGUCACAAAUGGUACAGUCCUGGAAGCGCUGCCCCUUUGACCUAUGAUAGAAUGGUACCAUUCUCCUGGCUGCCUUGCACCACUCUGACCUGUGAAAGAUGGUAUCACCCAGCACCCUUCUGCCUUGUUACUGAAUGACACCGUCCUGCUGCCCUGCACCCCUACCAAUAUGUGCUCUUGGAAAGGACCAGGAUAGCUAGUUCCCUUUACACCCCUUCUGUACUGAGGAACAGCCUACCCUACCCACCCCUCUUCUCCCUGAGAGACCUGAUAACGCCAGUUCUGGGAUAUCCCCCGACCCCAACUGCCAAGGAAAUCUGUUAUUUUGCAUUUCUAAAAUGUGGGAUUUUCAAAUGUGGGACUAGUUUUGGAAUUACUAAUGUCUGUUACUCUUAUUGGUUACUCUCUUUGAUGUUACAUCAUGAUCUUGGGGCGGCAGGGUAGCCUAGUGGUUAGAGCGUUGGACUAAUAACCGAAAGGUUGCAAGAUCGAAUCCCCGAGCUGACAAGGUACAAAUCUGUCGUUCUGCCCCUGAACAAGGCAGUUAACCCACCGUUCCUAGGCCGUCAUUGAAAAUAAGAAUUUGUUCUUAACUGACUUGCCUAGUUAAAUAAAAUCUUGCCUAGUUAAAAUAAAAAAAUCUUCCAGACCAGUGUACAUUUCCACACUACGGGUUACUCUUAUCUCUUAAGACUGUCAGCUGGUGAACGUCCAUUAGAAUAAUAUUAUAUAGAACUCACCUCAUCUUUUGAUAUUUUGUGCAAUACUUAACAAUACUUGUGUUUAGUUAGGUCUUAUCUGGACAUUAAACAGUUAGUAGCCCUAUGAACAGGAUAAGUAUGCAAACUGGUUUGUUAUGCAGUUUAGUCUGACAUGUUUCUACAUGUUUUUGUCCACCGAACUGUGGAUAAAAAAAAUCAGACUACAGUGAGGGGAAAAAAAGUAUACUUAUUUCCCUCAUUAAAAUCCAAAUCAAUUUAUAACAUUUUUGACAUGCGUUUUUUCUGGAUUUUUUGUUGUUAUUCUGUCUCUCACUGUUCAAAUAAACCUACCAUUAAAAUUAUAGACUGAUAAUUUUUUUUGUCAGUGGGCAAACGUACAAAAUCAGCAGAGGAUCAAAUACUUUUUUCCCCUCACUGUAGUUCAAGUAGAAGUAUUUACAUGCAAUUUGUUUUAUAGGCUAUUUUCUACCUCCUUAAAUCACAUUCUUAAUCCACCAUUUGCCUUUCAAAUCUGUAGUUGAGAUAUACAUAUACUGUAUUUGUGAUAGCAUUUUGAUUUGGGAGACUAGUGUACUGUAUAAUCUCAGAAUGAGCCAAAUACACUUUGCUUCACAACAGGUAUUUAAACAUGAGUAGACGCCACAAGGUGAAUAAAUAGCCAUGAUUUCACUCAACAAUAAACACAAUAGACCAGUGA